rnacentral:rRNA from 1 species
CCUACGGGGGGCAGCAGUGGGGAAUAUUGCACAAUGGGGGAAACCCUGAUGCAGCAACGCCGCGUGAGCGAUGAAGGCCUUCGGGUCGUAAAGCUCUGUCCUAAGGGAAGAAUACUGACGGUACCUUAGGAGGAAGCCCCGGCUAACUACGUGCCAGCAGCAGCGGUAAUACGUAGGGGGCUUGCGUUAUCCGGAAUUACUGGGCGUAAAGGGUGGGUAGUCGGCCCUUCAAGUCAGAUGUGAAAGGCUACGGCUCAAACGUGGUAAGCCUUUGAAACUGUAGGGCUUGAGUGCAGGAGAGGAGAGUGGGAUUCGCAGUGUAGCGGUGAAAUGCGUAGAGAUUGGGAGGAACACCAGUUGCGAAGGCGGCUCUCUGGACUGUAAGUGACGCUGAGGCACGAAAGCGUGGGGAGCGAACAGGAUUAGAGACCCGAGUAGUC